AUACAGAGGGUGCGAGCGUUAAUCGGAAUUACUGGGCGUAAAGCGCGCGUAGGCGGCUACUUAAGUCAGAUGUGAAAUCCCCGGGCUCAACCUGGGAACUGCAUCUGAUACUGGUAAGCUAGAGUUUGGGAGAGGGAAGUAGAAUUUCAGGUGUAGCGGUGAAAUGCAUAGAGAUCUGAAGGAAUACCAGUGGCGAAGGCGACUUCCUGGCCUAAAACUGACGCUGAGGUGCGAAAGCGUGGGUAGCAAACGGGAUUAGAAACCCGGGUAGUCC
rnacentral:rRNA from 1 species